rnacentral:lncRNA from 1 species
UCUACAAAGAAUCAUGAAUAAAAUUUAUAAAAUGACAGAAAUCAUCAUCUUAAUCUCUCAUUUGGUGGUGUGAUGAGGAUAUGAUGCACCAGCAUAUGGCAAAGCCAUUGUAAACUCGUGUUUAGUGGCGAGAGCUGGCGGGCCGCAAUCAGAAGCGGAUGGUUAGAUAUGAUGAUACGCGAUUUGUGGCGCGAACCUAACAAUGAAAAUUGGCCUUUGUGUGUUCCAUUUGUUUUGUUGGCGGGUUAAAAAAAGCAUAGUUCGGUAUAGCCAUGCGAGUAUGGCAACAAUGCCUCGCCAUAGUCGAGUCUAGAACUCAUGCUUCUUCUAAAACGGCUUUGGACCGACUGGACCUCAGCCCAGAAUAUGCUGUACACGGGCCUAUGAUCCGAAAAUCUUGAUUCGCCACGCACGUAUGAUAACUGAUGAAGACCUUGACCAUGCCAUAGUAUCCGAUCUUACCACGCAGGAGUCCGUCUUUUCUCCUUAUGGUGUAAACUGUCUCCUGUAUAUCUGUCUGAAUUAGUGAGGUACUUAUACGUUGGCGGAAAGUAUAUCUUCCCUUCAUUCCAUCCUUGGAAUACGCGGCCCCUUCUUUGC